rnacentral:lncRNA from 1 species
GAGGGGCAAUCCACCAUGUGGAGUGAUUGAUUAUAACCCUAUUUGAUUUUGAUGAGCUUAAAGCAUUUGAGUGUAUCUUAUACUAAUGAAUUCAAUCUAGUGUUUCAGCAAAUAUUUGUAAAUUUAUGUUUAAGUGUCUCUAGCUUUGGUUCAAUAGAUUUUGGCUAAGUAUGGAACUCAGUUUGAACCAAAGUCUGAAGCUCGAGUCGACUCCGGAAGAUUACGAGUCGACUCCAAGUGUUUCAGAAGCUCUAGCACAUGCUCGAGUCGACUCCGGUACACUACGAGUCGACUCCGACUGAGAACUGACAGAAAGACAGAAAGUUGAUUUUCAGACCCUGUCAGCAAGUCGACUCCAGAAGGGUUCGAGUCGACUCCGAUGGUUGCCGAGUCGACUCCCGACGUUUCCGAGUCGACUCCAAAGGGUAACAGAAGAAAGACAGAAUAAUGUAUUUCAGAUCCUGCAACCGAGUCGACUCCAGAAGGUUACGAGUCGACUCCGAAGUUUGGCGAGUCGACUCCUAGUUAAGUACGAGUCGACUCUCAGAGGAAAGCAAGACUAGAAGGCAGUUCAAGCCAAAACACAGAGGAUCAGUUUUCGGAUCCUGAGAGCCGAGUCGACUCCAACAAAGUGCGAGUCGACUCCGAGACAGUUCAACUCAAA